GACAGAGGCCCCGAGCGUUAGGCGGAAUCACUGGGCUUAAAGCGUGUGUAGGCGGACGCCUAAGUACCUCCGGUGAAAUCCCACGGCUCACCCGUGGAACGGCUGGGUAUACUGGGCGUCUUGGGCCACUUAGGGCGACUGGAACAAGCGGUGGAGCGGUGAAAUUCGUAGAUAUUCGGAAGAACACCAGUGGCGAAGGCGGCUCACUGGACCGGU
rnacentral:rRNA from 1 species